UAUAAAUCCAAGCUGAUUAACUCGUGGAAACUCCCCAACCUUUCGUCAUCUUAAUCUUCUUACCAUGGUAUUGGCGCUAACAUAUUUCCUCUGUCUGCUACUUCUGUUGCUGCCAUUUUCCACCACAGCUCAAACUUAUACCAACAUAACACUGGGCUCAUCGCUCACCGCCCUCAACGACAACUCUUCCUGGAAAUCGCCGUCCGGCGACUUCGCAUUCGGGUUCCGGCAGAUCAGAACAGGGAAUUUCUUACUUGCCCUAUGGUUCGACAAAAUUCCUGAAAAAACCAUAACUUGGUCAGCCAAUGGCGAAACCUUAGUUCAAAAAGGGUCCAAAAUUCAACUCACACAAAAUGGGUAUCUCGUGCUCACCGACCCACAAGGCCAAAAGAUCUGGGCGGCAAAUCCCACCGCCGCCGGAGUCGCCUACGCCGCCGUGCUCGACGUUGGAAACCUCGUCCUUGUGAGCAAUGAUUCGGUCAUUUUGUGGCAGAGCUUCGAUCAUCCAACUGACACAAUUCUCCCCACCCAGGUAUUAAAUCUCGGGACCAAACUGGUGGCUCGGUUCUCCGAAAAUAAUUUCUCGAGCGGAAGAUUUGAGCUUCCGUUUCAAAACGACGGAAAUCUAGUGCUCUACACCAGAGCAUUUCCGUUGGACUCUGUAUACGGCGCGUACUGGGCGACGGGAACUGAUGGCUCCGGCUACCAGACAAUAUUCCGGCCGGAAGGGAGCAUCGAAGUUAUAGGAAAAACAGGCAAAGUGCUCAGCACGGUUUCAUCAAGCGCAGCUUCAACUGAGGAUUUCUACCAGAGAGCAAUUAUUGAAAAUGAUGGGGUUUUCCGGCAGUACAUAUACCCCAUCGCCGGCGGCGGCUCGAGAACCGUGAACUGGUCGCAGGCGUGGUCUUCUCUGACGGCGAUUCCUUCGGAUAUCUGCAUGAGCAUCACGCUGAGCACAGGGAGCGGAGCUUGUGGGUUCAACAGCUUGUGCAGGCUAAUUGGGCAGAGACCCAAGUGUGAGUGCCCACCCGGAUAUACCUUCUCGGAUCCAAACGACAAACUGGAUGGGUGCAGACCGACCUUCGUUCCGCAGAACUGCAAUGGAAAACCGGAAAGAAGCAAUCUCUUUGAUAUUGUGGAGAUGCCCGACACCGAUUGGCCUCUUUCCGACUACGAACUCUUGCAGCCGGUGACGGAGGAGUGGUGCAGGGGAGCUUGCUUGGACGAUUGUCAGUGCGCAGUUGCCAUUUUCAGAAACGGGAAUUGUUGGAAGAAGAAGGUGCCUCUGUCUAACGGGAGGAUUAAUCCCAGUGUCGGAGGAAAAGCUUUGAUCAAAGUGGGAAAAAAUGUUUCUGUAUCGGAAUCGACGAUUGUGGGCCUUUGGAAGGAGAAGAAGAAGGAUUAAUCUCAAAAGUGUCAUGAAUGCUGAAAGCUCCUUGCUUCUCAAAUUUUCACCUGCCAUUCUCUGCAAUACCAAUUACACAUUUUCUUCCUCUCUGAUUCAGGAAGAACCAAAUGCAAACAUCAAGGUUUUCUGCUUAAAUUUUCAGGAGAUCUCUUCAACCAAACGACUAAUAAGAUGUGGCAUUUUUGUAGCGACAUGAUUGUGCAGAUGAUAUCUAUCAGGACAUUGAGGAAGGAGCUGAAGAGACUGUUGAAUAUUUAUGUUGCCAAUGGAGAGAGGGGAUAGUUGAAAAUUAUAGUAUUUGUCCAUGCCUUAGCUGCUUGGUCAUAAUAUAUUCCUAGAAUUGCAGCUACUGUGAGUUUUCUGUUCUAGCACAAGAUGUUUCUCGUCUCUUUUUUCUCUUCAAUGUGUUUUGAUGAAGUCAGGGCAGAAAAGAAUGACUAGAAAUUCGUGGUUGGUGGGAUAGUUAAACUCGACUCAACUUGAAAAUUUUAAGUUCAAAACUUUACUUGAACCGUAUCGAUCUUAUAAUGGUCAAACCUGAGCUACUUUAGUUUUCU